AUACGUAGGGGGCGAGCGUUGUCCGGAAUGAUUGGGCGUAAAGGGCGCGUAGGCGGCCCGGUAAGUCUGGAGUGAAAGUCCUGCUUUUAAGGUGGGAAUUGCUUUGGAUACUGUCGGGCUUGAGUGCAGGAGAGGUAAGUGGAAUUCCCAGUGUAGCGGUGAAAUGCGUAGAGAUUGGGAGGAACACCAGUGGCGAAGGCGACUUACUGGACUGUAACUGACGCUGAGGCGCGAAAGUGUGGGGAGCAAACAGGAUUAGAUACCCUGGUAGUCCACACUGUAAACGAUGAAUGCUAGGUGUAGGGGGUAUCGACCCCUUCUGUGCCGCAGUUAACACAAUGAGCAUUCCGCCUGGGGAGUACGGCCGCAAGGUUGAAACUCAAAGGAAUUGGCGGGG
rnacentral:rRNA from 1 species